AGUAAAAUAGGAUAAAUGUUAAUCUAGGAGGUUCAUACCCUUUUGAUACUGAAAAGUUUUUACUA
rnacentral:tRNA from 1 species